CAGAACUGUAGCUGCUGGCCUACGCCACGGCCACAGCACGUGGGAUCCAAGUCCCAUCUGCAACCCACACCACAGCUCACGGCAGUGCUGGCUCCUUAACCCCCUGAGCAAGGCCAGGAAUCAAACCUGUGUCCUCAAUCUAGUCAGAUUCAUUUCUGCUGAGCCACGAUGGGAACUCCUGUUUUGUUUCUUGUUGUGCUUUGUAAUUUUUUAUUAAGGACCUGUCAUCAUAUGAAAAUCAUAGGGUGUUUGGAGGUUGUUAUCUUCCUCCAGAGAAGACAAUUUUUUUCUGCGGGCAGUAGAAUAAAGCUGUUCAUCUUGACACAGUCAACAAUUAAGAUGAUGGGGUGGAGUUUAGGCUGGUAGAUUUCUGUUGCCUGGACUCCUGAGGCAUCUGGCAGCCAGGCUUUGGAAAGAAGCUCAGGGGUGACAUCAGGGAGGAUCACGGUGAGGGGAGUGAUGGAUGCAGGAGUCCGAUGGAGGACUGAGAGGUGAGAAGAACCAGACACCAGGGCUAACGGAGCUCUGAGAAACUUGGCUGUGCAUCGCUAUUGAUACACACACAUGAAUGUUACGUUCACAGAUGGUGCAGAGAGGGUGGGGUCUGCAGUCCUGGAGACAGAAUCUCAUUUUAUUGUGCUGUAGAGUCUGGGCUAAGCUACCUCCAAAUACAGUGAGUUAAACACCAGUUAAUUUUUUCCCGCCUGAGGUCCAGAGGUGAUGGUUCACCCUAAAUGCAAGAGAGGCAGGGAAAGCAUUGUCUUCUUUGAGAGGCAGGAUCAGAGGGCUGAUCCCUAAGUAAUCAAGGGGGCGAGCUCCCUUGAUCUUUGGCCAUCCUAAGUCCUCAGUGUCUGGGUGCUGGCCCAGCUCAUGCAACAGGGCUUUUGGGAGAGGUGAUGUUAGAAAUCACGUUGUUAUCCUACAUGCCAGUGCAGAGUGAACAGCUAGGGGAAUGGAAUCUCAGGGGGUGCCUGCAGCCUACCUGCUACCUUGUGCCUUGGACCUGGGCUGUGCAUGCCACCUGCUGCUGAUCUGGACCCUGCACUGGCCUGUCCACCAAGUGCUAGCCGGCUAUGGCUGCGAUAUAAUGUUUCCCACCACUCUGUUCCGGGCAGCUACCCCUACAGGUCCCAGGUUUCUUGCAUGACAGCCAGUUCCUUAUUUUCGAAUUAUCUGUGCAAAGGGCUAGGCUCAUUGGAUGCCUGUAGUUUCAGUUGUUGGCCUAAAGGGCUCCGUGUCUGGGAUUAACCUCAGCCAUUCUCCUUUCUUUGUUACAGACGCAAAGUCUUCUCUAUGUCAGCUCCAGGGUCUUCCUCAAGUCAGAGUCCUGGGAAGUGGCGGGUCACCUGCCCACACUCACUCCCUGUGAUGUCAAAGCCGGUGGGAGCGGGUCUUAUUUGCUAGGAGGAAAGCCUGAUCUACCUGCUCCCAAGAUGGUCUCUCAGAAGGGGGGAGGGAGCCCUCAAUCAGAUUUAGAAUGUUGAUUAUUAAAAGGGACUGGAGGAGUUACCCCUCUGGCGCAGUGGGUUAAGGAUCCGUCUUGUCUCUCUUGGUGUUGCCAGUUCGAUUCUGGGCACAGUGGGUUAAGGAUCUGGUGUUGCCAUAGGAGCAUAGGUCACAGUUGCAGCUCAGACUCGAUCCCUGGCCCAGGAACUUCCAUAUGCCAUGGGUGCCACUGGGGGAAAAAAAAUGGACUGGGAAAUUUAACCUGCAAAGUAAGAUUAUUUCAUGAUUGAGUGAGUCUGAGUUAACCUAAGAGGGAACAGAAAGGACCUGGCCCUUGUCGUCUGGAGCAAGGGAAGGCCCCCUCCCAUUGACAGGUCUUUGAAAGGGCGGGGGAGGGGGGCGUGCAGUGGGGAGUUGUGUUUUGAUCACAUUCUGUGGUUGUGCUUUUUCAGCAUCCCAGUUGCUCACACAGUGCAGGUUCAGAUAAAGGAGUGGAUGAGGGUUAAUUUGCUGAGUUGGGCUGGGUGAGGAGGGGAUGAACCAUGGUGACUUCAACUUUUUUGUCUUGAAUCAAAGUAAAACCUCAGACCAGCAGCCAAGGGAGUGCAUCCUUUUGAACGAUCUGUUGGUGGGCGUGCAAACCCAUUCUUUGUUCAUUUCUCCUCUGUCCUCUGUGUGUUUCUCAUUUAGUGUCACUUCCACAGGUCAUAACAUGUACAGUUUUUUUUUUUUUUUUUUUUUGGUCUUUUUAGGGCCGCACCCACAACAUGGGAGUUCCCAGGCUAGGGGUCGAGUCAGAGCUGCAGCUGUGGGCCUACACCACAGCCACAGCAACAGGGGAUCCGAGCCACAUCUGCGACCUACACCACAGAUCACAGCAACGCUGGAUCCUUAACCCACUGAGGCAGGCCAUGGACCGAACCCACGUCCUCAUGGAUGAUGAUCAUUGUAGUUUUCUAGAGAAAGUUCUUAGUUAUCUCAUUUCAGGUUAUUUAACUUUCUUGGACAGAGUGAAAAACUGUAUUUUAUGAACAUCCUGAAAAACUUGAGUUUGAAUUGUCAUAAAUGGCCUUGGUUAAUAAAUAAUAAUAAAACAUUAAGUUGUGUAAACAUAUACUAGUCUAUGAAAUGCUGUUUUUAGCAUUUACUAUUCAAUUUCCUUCCUUUUGCACAGGAAGUGUGCCUUGCACAUUAUCUACCCAAAGGGUAAAUUUGGUUCUUUGUAGUUGGGUAAAUAGAAUUUUUGUGAACUGCUAGAAUAAUUUAUUGUAUUUGCUGAAUUUAUUCUUUUCCUUUGUGAGUAGUCUGUGCUCAUAAACUGAUUCUUUUGCUGGCCAAAGAAGCCUUUUGUCCAUUUG
rnacentral:lncRNA from 1 species